rnacentral:rRNA from 1 species
AUGUUACCUAAAAAACAUCUAUCUGGCUGUGAGAAAAGAAACAACAAGAAAAGAGUAGACAAGUUGAUUAAAUCUCAGGAAGGCGCUAUAGAUAUGUUUGUCUUGAGGCCUGGUGCUGCUACAAAUUCAGAGCAAUUAUAUAUCACAAAUGGUGAAGAAAAACCUGAUGAUACUAAGAAUGCCGUUGAGGAAAAUCAUGUUGAGAAAAAUAAUGCUGCGGAAAAUGAUGCCGAUCAGCACACGGAAAAUUUUAGUGACCAUGAGAAUCUUGGAAAUGCAGAUGAGCAGGGUUCUUCUUUUGAUAUAUAUGAUCGUAGAACUUGGAAUAUUCUUGACAAUAAAUCAAGAGAUAUUCUCAUUGAAAAAGGACCUAUAAGGGAAUACAAUCUUGUGUUUCCCGAAGAUGAAAUUAGUGGCAGGCAUUUUUCAUAUGAUUACUACACAAGAAAGUUAAGUAAUGGCGAGUUCAGUGAUCGGAGGUGGUUAGUGUACUCUAAACACGUGAAUAAAGUCUACUGCUUUUGUUGCAAAUUGUUUAAAUCUGGAAAAAGCAAAAGUCUGCUAGCAUCCGAGGGAUUAAAGGAUUAGAGACAUCUUAGUGAGAAGCUCAAAUUGCAUGAGAAUAGUGUUGAGCAUAUCACUAACAUGAAUACUUGGAAUGAGGUAAGGGUGAGGCUAAGUAAGAAGGAAACAAUUGAUAAAGACAUGCAACAAGAGAUUGCAAGGGAGAAGGAGCGAUGGAGACUUGUUUUAAUUAGAAUUGUUGUUGCUGUGAAAUUUCUUGCUAAACAUAGUCUGGCUUUUCGAGGAUCGAAUGAGAAAUUAUAUCAAGAUAACAACGGAAAUUUUUUGGGAGUAAUUGAAAUGAUGGCAGAAUUUGAUCCUGUAAUGCAAGAGCAUCUUCGGCGCAUUAAGAAUAGUGAAAUCCAUCAUCAUUAUCUUGGCCAUAAUAUU